rnacentral:rRNA from 1 species
CCUACGGGAGGCAGCAGUGGGGAAUAUUGGACAAUGGGGGCAACCCUGAUCCAGCCAUGCCGCGUGAGUGAAGAAGGCCCUAGGGUUGUAAAGCUCUUUCAGAUGUGAGGAUGAUGACAGUAGCAUCAGAAGAAGCACCGGCUAACUUCGUGCCAGCAGCCGCGGUAAUACGAAGGGUGCUAGCGUUGUUCGGAAUUACUGGGCGUAAAGGGCGUGUAGGCGGAUGAUCAAGCUAGAGGUGAAAGCCCAGGGCCCAACCCUGGAACUGCCUUUAGAACUGAUUGUCUAGAAUCCGUAAGGGGAGUGUGGAAUUCCUAGUGUAGAGGUGAAAUUCGUAGAUAUUAGGAAGAACACCAGUGGCGAAGGCGGCACUCUGGUACGGUAUUGACGCUGAGGCGCGAAAGCGUGGGGAGCAAACAGGAUUAGAUACCCUGGUAGUCCACGCCGUAAACGAUGUCUGCUAGCCGUUUGGACACUUAGUGUCUGGGUGGCGCCGCUAACGCAUUAAGCAGACCGCCUGGGGAGUACGGUCGCAAGAUUAAAACUCAAAUGAAUUGACGGAAUCUCUAGAGGNUCCCNGNNCCGAGCNNNNANNGNCCC